rnacentral:miRNA from 8 species
AGUUUUGCUGGUUUGCAUUUCAGC